AUCAGACUUCACCAGAUAUUCAGACAGAGCUCUUGCUCUCUUUUUCUGAAGCUGCUAAAGGAUGCACAAAGGAUCUAUGUUUUGAUGCAUUUGUUCCUUGUGAUUCUUGUGAUGGGUGUGGCUA